UAAAUCGAGAGUUUGAUCCUGGCUCAGGAUGAACGCUGGCGGCGUGCCUAAUACAUGCAAGUCGAGCGCAUCGGCCCAACUGAUUGAAGAUGCUUGCAUCUGAUUGACGAUGGUUUACCGAUGAGCGGCGGACGGGUGAGUAACACGUAGGUAACCUGCCCAGAAGCGGGGGAUAACACCUGGAAACAGAUGCUAAUACCGCAUAGGUCAUUUGACCGCAUGGUCAAAUGAUUAAAGAUGGCUCUGCUAUCACUUCUGGAUGGACCUGCGGCGUAUUAGCUAGUUGGUAAGGUAACGGCUUACCAAGGCGAUGAUACGUAGCCGAGUUGAGAGACUGAUCGGCCACAUUGGGACUGAGACACGGCCCAGACUCCUACGGGAGGCAGCAGUAGGGAAUCUUCCACAAUGGACGCAAGUCUGAUGGAGCAACGCCGCGUGAGCGAAGAAGGUCUUCGGAUCGUAAAACUCUGUUGUUAGAGAAGAACACGGGC
rnacentral:ncRNA from 1 species